GUUGGUGGUUGACUGUGUAUACUGUUCAUAUGUUGGUGGUUGAUUUUGUAUAUUGUUUAUGGGUUGGUGGUUGAUUUUGUAUACUGUUUAAGUGUUGGUGGUUGAUUUUAUAUACUGUUUAUGUUUUGGUGGUUGAUUGUGUAUACUGUUCAUGUGUUGGUGGUUGAUUUUGUAUACUGUUCAUGUGUUGGUGGUUGAUUUUGUAUACUGUUUAAGUGUUGAUGGUUAAUUUUAUAUACUGUGUAUGUGUUGGUGGUUGAUUGUGUAUAUUGUAUAUGGGUUGGUGGUUGAUUUUCUAUACUCUUUAAGUGUUGGUGGUUGAUUUUAUAUACUGUUUAUGUGUUGGUGGUUGAUUUUGUAUACUGUUUAUGUGUUGGUGGUUGAUUCUGUAUAUUGUUUAUGGGUUGGUGGUUGAUUUUGUAUACUGUUUAAGUG
rnacentral:lncRNA from 1 species